rnacentral:rRNA from 1 species
GAUGAACGCUGGCGGCGUGCCUAAUACAUGCAAGUAGAACGCUGAAGGAAGGAGCUUGCUCUUUCCGGGUGAGUUGCGAACGGGUGAGUAACGCGUAGGUAACCUGCCUGGUAGCGGGGGAUAACUAUUGGAAACGAUAGCUAAUACCGCAUAACAGUAGAUGUUGCAUGAUAUCUACUUAAAAGGUGCAAUUGCACCACUACCAGAUGGACCUGCGUUGUAUUAGCUAGUUGGUGAGGUAACGGCUCACCAAGGCGACGAGACAUAGCCGACCUGGGAGGCUGGUCGGCCGCACGGGGACUGGGCCACGGCCCAUGCUCCUGAGGGAGGCAGCAGUAGGGAACCUUCGGCAAUGGACGGAAGUCUUACCGAGCAACGCCGCGUGAGUGGAGGAGGUUUUCGGAUCGUAAAGCUCUGUUGUAAGAGAAGAACGAGUGUGAGAGUGGAAAGUUCACACUGUGACGGUAUCUUACCAGAAAGGGCCGGCUAACUACGUG